rnacentral:lncRNA from 1 species
GAGGGAGCGUCCGCGGCCCGCGCGCCCGCGCGGCGGAGGAGAGGUGUUAAGUGUGAUGCUUCCAUAAUACAUUUGGAUGUUGUCAGCUAAGUUCACUUCUGAACUAAGGGGUUCCUCCAAAUGUUGGCUGAAAUUCAUCCCAAGGCUGGUCUGCAAUUACCUAUUUCUUUUAAGAAUAAAUUUAGUGGGAAUAUCAGUUCCAGUCAUGGGUACCAAACUUUUUUAGUGACAGAGUACACACAGAGUUUACAAUUCAUAAUGGAGCUACUGUACUGGCUAUUGGAAGGAGGAGAUUCUGAAGAUAAGGAGGUAAAACCUGUUUAGAAAUUAAAAAUGAGUUACGAUUUAAAGAAAAUUCAGAUGACUCAUUGUGAGUGCUAGUUCUCUUGUAGGAUGCCACUGGAAAUGUUGAAAUGAAAAAUAUUCAGCCGUCGGUCUUUGAAAUUUCCUGUGAUGUAU